CACNUCUAGCAUUACAAGUAUUAGAGGCACUGCCUGCCCGGUGACGAGAAGUUCAACGGCCGCGGUAUCCUGACCGUGCAAAGGUAGCAUAAUCACUUGUUCCUUAAAUAGGGACUUGUAUGAACGGCUAAACGAGGGCUUGACUGUCUCUCAUUUCUAGUCAGUGAAAUUGACCUUCCCGUGAAGAGGCGGGAAUAAUACAAUAAGACGAGAAGACCCUAUGGAGCUUCAAUUUAUUAAUUUAUUCCCUACCACACCUAAGUCCACAAGGACAUAAAAUACUGAGUCUAAAUUAAUAAUUUCGGUUGGGGUGACCUCGGAGAACAACAAAUCCUCCGAAUGAUAUUAGCCUAGACACAACAAGUCAAAGCCUACCAUCACUAAUUGACCCAAAAAUUACUUUUGAUCAAUGAACCAAGUUACCCUAGGGAUAACAGCGCAAUCCUAUUCUAGAGUCCAUAUCGACAAUAGGGUUUACGACCUCGAUGUUGGAUCAGGACAUCCCAGUGGUGCAGCCGCUACUAAUGGUUCGUYUGUUCAACGAUUAAAGUCCU
rnacentral:rRNA from 1 species